rnacentral:tRNA from 4 species
GGCGAUGUAGCUCAGUUGGUCAGAGCAUGCGGCUCAUAUCCGCAGUGUCCGGGGUUCAAUUCCCUGCAUCGCCACCA